rnacentral:rRNA from 1 species
GUGGGGAAUAUUGCACAAUGGGCGCAAGCCUGAUGCAGCAACGCCGCGUGAGGGAUGACGGCCUUCGGGUUGUAAACCUCUUUUAGUAGGGAAGAAGCGUAAGUGACGGUACCUGCAGAAAAAGCACCGGCUAACUACGUGCCAGCAGCCGCGGUAAUACGUAGGGUGCAAGCGUUGUCCGGAAUUAUUGGGCGUAAAGAGCUCGUAGGCGGCUUGUCGCGUCUGCCGUGAAAACCCAGGGCUCAACUCUGGGCGUGCGGUGGGUACGGGCAGGCUAGAGUGCGGUAGGGGAGAGUGGAAUUCCUGGUGUAGCGGUGGAAUGCGCAGAUAUCAGGAGGAACACCGAUGGCGAAGGCAGAUCUCUGGGCCGUAACUGACGCUGAGGAGCGAAAGCAUGGGGAGCGAACAGGAUUAGAAACCCCUGUAGUCC